UCGUCACACUAUCAUUAACUGAAUCCAUAGGUUAAUGAGGCGAACCGGGGGAACUGAAACAUCUAAGUACCCCGAGGAAAAGAAAUCAACCGAGAUUCCCCCAGUAGCGGCGAGCGAACGGGGAGGAGCCCAGAGCCUGAAUCAGCAUGUGUGUUAGUGGAAGCGUCUGGAAAGGCGCGCGAUACAGGGUGACAGCCCCGUACACAAAAGCGCAUGUGCUGUGAGCUCGAUGAGUAGGGCGGGACACGUGGUAUCCUGUCUGAAUAUGGGGGGACCAUCCUCCAAGGCUAAAUACUCCUGACUGACCGAUAGUGAACCAGUACCGUGAGGGAAAGGCGAAAAGAACCCCGGCGAGG
rnacentral:rRNA from 2 species